rnacentral:rRNA from 1 species
AACGAACGCUGGCGGCAUGCCUAACACAUGCAAGUCGAACGACCCCUCCGGGGAUAGUGGCGCACGGGUGCGUAACGCGUGGGAACCUGCUCUUAGGCUCGGAAUUACUCAGUGAAAUUUGAGCUAAUAUCGGAUAACGUCUUCGGACCAAAGAUUCAUCGUCUUGGGAUGGGCCCGCGUUGGUUUAGCUUGUUGGUGGGGUAAAGGCCUACCAAGGCGACGAUCGAUAGCUGGUCUGAGAGGAAGAUCAGCCACACUGCGACUGAGACACGGCCCGGAAUCCUGCGGGAGGCGGGAGUGGGGGAUCUUGGACUAUGGGCUAGAGGCUGAUCCAGCAAUGCCGCGUGAGUGAUGAAGGCCUUAGAGUUGUAAAGCUCUUUUACCCGGGAUGAUAAUGACAGUACCGAAAGAAUAAGCACCGGCUAACUCCGUG